rnacentral:snoRNA from 1 species
CGUGCCCCAGCUCGUGUUGCAGAUGUGGCUGCAGUGCUGUGUCUGUGUCAUUAGGUGGCAGAGAGGAAAAGGCGAUGUCUUUGCUGGCGCUCCGAAACCUGUGAGCGCUCGGGAAGGAUGAGCAACCUGACAAU